UACAGAGGUCCCAAGCGUUGUUCGGAUUCACUGGGCGUAAAGGGUGCGUAGGUGGCGAGGUAAGUCGGAUGUGAAAGCUCGGAGCUCAACUCCGAAAUGGCAUUGGAAACUACCUUGCUCGAGGGUUGGAGGGGGGACUGGAAUGCUUGGUGUAGCAGUGAAAUGCGCAGAUAUCAGGAGGAACACCGAUGGCGAAGGCAGGUCUCUGGGCCACUACUGACGCUGAGAAGCGAAAGCAUGGGGAGCGAACAGG
rnacentral:rRNA from 1 species